UUAGAGAAGAACAAGUGAGAGAGUAACGGUUCUCGCCUUGACGGUAUCUAACCAGAAAGCCUCGGCUAACUACGUGCCAGCAGCCGCGGUAAUACGUAGGUGGCAAGCGUUGUCCGGAUUUAUUGGGCGUAAAGCGAGCGCAGGCGGUUCCUUAAGUCUGAUGUGAAAGCCCCCGGCUCAACCGGGGAAGGUCAUUGGAAACUGGGGAACUUGAGUGCAGAAGAGGAGAGUGGAAUUCCAUGUGUAGCGGUGAAAUGCGUAGAUAUAUGGAGGAACACCAGUGGCGAAGGCGACUCUCUGGUCUGUAACUGACG
rnacentral:rRNA from 1 species